rnacentral:rRNA from 1 species
GAUGAACGCUAGCGGCAGGCCUAAUACAUGCAAGUCGAACGCUCAGUAGCAAUACUGGGAGUGGCGCACGGGUGCGUAACGCGUACACAAUCUACCUCUAAGCGGGGGACACCUCCUGGAAACGGGGAUUAAUACCGCAUAAUAUGCCGAGGUCGCAUGACUUUGGUAUUAAAGCAGCAAUGCACUUAGAGAUGAGUGUGCGUCCCAUUAGGUAGUUGGUGAGGUAACGGCUCACCAAGCCUAUGAUGGGUAGCCGGUCUGAGAGGAUGGUCGGCCACACGGGCACUGAGACACGGGCCCGACUCCUACGGGAGGCAGCAGUAAGGAAUAUUGGUCAAUGGUGGAAACACUGAACCAGCCAUGCCGCGUGGAGGAAUAAGGUCCUACGGAUUGUAAACUCCUUUUGACGAGGAAGAAAGUGUUAGAUUUAUCUAAUUUUGACGGUACUCGUAGAAUAAGCACCGGCUAACUCCGUGCCAGCAGCCGCGGUAAU